UACGGAGGAUGCAAGCGUUAUCCGGAAUUAUUGGGCGUAAAGCGUCCGUAGGCGGCUGUUUAAGUCUGCUGUCAAAGCCCGGGGCUUAACUUCGGAAAGGCAGUGGAAACUGAACAGCUAGAGUAUGGUAGGGGCAGAGGGAAUUCCUGGUGUAGCGGUGAAAUGCGUAGAGAUCAGGAAGAACAUCAGUGGCGAAGGCGGUCUGCUGGACCGUAACUGACGCUGAGGGACGAAAGCUAGGGGAGCGAAUAGG
rnacentral:rRNA from 1 species